rnacentral:rRNA from 1 species
CUUGGUCAUUUAGAGGAAGUAAAAGUCGUAACAAGGUUUCCGUAGGUGAACCUGCGGAAGGAUCAUUAACGAGUUAGGGUCUUCUAGGCCCGACCUCCCAACCCUUUGUUUACUGAACCAUUGUUGCCUCGGUGGGUCCGACUUACGACCGCCGGGGGAUCGCCGCGAGGCGCCCCCUGGCCAGCGCCCACCGAUAGCCCAACCUUUAAAACCCUUUGUGAAUCGUGUCUUAUGUCUAAAUUUAUGAUUAAACAAUCAAAACAAAACUUUCAACAACGGAUCUCUUGGUUCUGGCAUCGAUGAAGAACGCAGCGAAAUGCGAUAAGUAAUGCGAAUUGCAGAAUUCCAGUGAGUCAUCGAAUCUUUGAACGCACAUUGCGCCCUUUGGUAUUCCGAAGGGCAUGCCUGUUCGAGCGUCAUUAUCACCCCUCAAGCCCCGUGCUUGGUGUUGGAUGGCCGGUCGAGGUUCGCCCCGACCCCUCCUAAAGACAAUGACGGCGACCUGUGGUUCCCCCGGUACACUGAGCUUUUCGCAGAGCACGUACCGGACGAGGGCGCCCGGGUCACGGUCCCCUCCUCCUCGUGAGGAAAUAUUUUUCAAGGUUGACCUCGGAUCAGGUAGGAAUACGCGCUGAACUUAAGCAUAUCAAUAAGCGCAGGAAAAGAAACCAACAGGGAUUGCCUCAGUAACGGCGAGUGAAGCGGCAACAGCUCAAAUUUGAAAUCUGGCCUCUCGGGGUCCGAGUUGUAAUUUGUAGAGGAUGUUUUGGGUACCGCCCCGGUCUAAAUUUCUUGGAACAGAAUGUCAAAGAGGGUGAGAAUCCCGUCUUGGACCGGCGGUAGGGCCUGUGUAAAACUCCUUCGACGAGUCGAGUUGUUUGGGAAUGCAGCUCAAAAUGGGUGGUAAAUUUCAUCUAAAGCUAAAUAUUGGCCAGAGACCGAUAGCGCACAAGUAGAGUGAUCGAAAGAUGAAAAGCACUUUGAAAAGGGAGUUAAACAGUAUGUGAAAUUGUUGAAAGGGAAGCGCUUGCAACCAGACUUGAGCGCGGCGGUUCCCCUGGCCUUUUGGCCAGGUUACUCCGUCGUGUCCAGGCCAACAUCGGUUUCGAGGGUCGGUCAAAGGCUCCGGGAAUGUAUCUACCCACGGGUAGACUUAUAGACCGGGGUGUCAUGCGACCUCUCGGGACCGAGGAACGCGCUUCGGCUCGGAUGUUGGCGUAAUGGUUGUCAGCGACCCGUCUUGAAACACGGACC